rnacentral:rRNA from 1 species
GAUGAACGCUGACAGAAUGCUUAACACAUGCAAGUCGAUGGGGAAGUGGUGCUUGCACCAUGGUAACCAUGGCGGACGGGUGGGUAACGCGUAAGGAACUUACCUGCGGGACCGGGAUAACAGCAGGAAACUGCUGACAAGACCGGAUAAGGUCAUUAAGCUGCUUAGCUUAGUGAUGAAAGGAGACGCCUGCGGAGAGCCUUGCGUCCUAUUAGCUAGUUGGAGGGGUAACGGCCCACCAAGGCGAAGAUAGGUAGCCGGCCUGAGAGGGUGGACGGCCACAAGGGGACUGAGAUACGGCCCUUACUCCUACGGGAGGCAGCAGUGGGGAAUAUUGGACAAUGGGGGCAACCCUGAUCCAGCAAUUCUGUGUGCACGAAGACGGUUUUCGGAUUGUAAAGUGCUUUCAGCAGGGAAGAAGGAAGUGACGGUACCUGCAGAAGAAGCGACGGCUAAAUACGUG